rnacentral:rRNA from 1 species
AAACCAACAGGGAUUGCCUCAGUAACGGCGAGUGAAGCGGCAAAAGCUCAAAUUUGAAAUCUGGCCUCUGGUCCGAGUUGUAAUUUGAAGAAGCGACUUUGGUACCGGCUCUUGUCUAUGUUCCUUGGAACAGGACGUCACAGAGGGUGAGAAUCCCGUGCGAUGAGAUGCCCGGUGCCGUGUAAAGCGUUUUCGACGAGUCGAGUUGUUUGGGAAUGCAGCUCUAAGUGGGUGGUAAAUUCCAUCUAAAGCUAAAUAUUGGCGAGAGACCGAUAGCGAACAAGUACAGUGAUGGAAAGAUGAAAAGAACUUUGAAAAGAGAGUGAAAAAGUACGUGAAAUUGUUGAAAGGGAAGGGCUUGAGAUCAGACUUUGUAUUUCCAUGGCGCUCUCUCGGGGGUGUCCUCUGGGUUUACAGGGCCAGCAUGGGUUCUGCGGGCGAGAUAAGGACCUGGGAAUGUGGCUCUACUUCGGUGGAGUGUUAUAGCCCAGGGUACUGGUCGCCACGCGGGACCGAGGACUGCGAAUCUAGGAUGCUGGCAUAAUGAUCUUAAGCCGC